rnacentral:tRNA from 1 species
AUUUAUAUAGUUUAUAAAAACAUUUCAUUUUCAAUGAAAAGAUAGGGCUAACCUUUAUAAA